CCCCUAGACGUUCUGGGCUGCACGCGCGCUACAAUCAUACGCACAGCGAGUAUCACCGAGCUCGAAAGGGCAAGGUAAACAAUAGAAAAGGUACUGUAAUGGUUAUAGAUCCUUGUAAUUAUUGAUCUUCAACGAGGAAUUCCUAGUAAGUAUGUGUCAUCAUCACGCACUGAUUACGUCCCUGCCCUUUGUACACACCGCCCGUCGCUCCUACCGAUUGAGUGAGCCGAUGAAACUGCCGGAUGUGGACUAUUCAUAGUCUGCAGAAGAUAUUUGAAUCGUAGCGCUUAGAGGAAGGAGAAGUCGUAACA
rnacentral:rRNA from 1 species